AUGGUUGUGGCUUGGCUGCCGGGCACACAAUCCAUUGAUUCACACAUAAGGUCAAAACCGAGUCGCGGUGUUCACAAUGCUGGGCAUUAUUUAUAUCAAAGGACGAGGAGGAAGAUUUGGAUGACCGUAACCAAAAUGGCAAGGGCAGCAACAUGGUCGUCACCUGCAAUGCCGAUGGGUGCUGAGAUUAAGAUGUUUGGUUUAUUUGUUGAAAGUUACAUCCCAUGUUUCAUGAUUUAUUUGCCGCUGGUUAAUCAUGAUAUUUUGAACUGCUCUGACAAUUGCUUGCUGUCUGCGUCUCUUACUUUCCAACUUGCUGCACAUACAGAUAUACAUCAUUAG
rnacentral:rRNA from 1 species